rnacentral:lncRNA from 1 species
GCAGUAUAGAACAUGGGCAACCAGAGGCUGUCUCAUAUUCGGGACCACCAGGUAUGAUGACCACACUGAUGGGAUAUUUCUGGGGCAAAGACAACCUACCCAACUGGAAACACACGUAUAUCGAGAGUGGCUGCUCUUGUCAAAAACUACAGUGGACUGAUUUCACUUUCCAGUGGUGGAUGGAGCAUCUCAAACCUUAGACAGAAUCCCAUCUCCUCAUCCUCCCUGCACAAAACCCCAUCUCCCCAUGGGAAGCAUGCAGGACAGAUUUCUGCUCUUUGCUGAUGUCUUUGUCCUGGCAGCCCCUCAUAGCAGCCUGCAGCUUCCUCAUGGCAGCCUAUAAGCGAUAGCCUGAACCCUUUCAUUUCUUGUUAGCAAGCCAUAUUAAUCCCUAAAACAACUCCCCUCCACUUGCUCACCUUGAACUACAAGAACUCAUUUCUCAUUCAUCCACACAGCAUCAUAAACAGAGCCGCAGUGGCAUGAGGGGACAGCAGCAUGGGGGAAAAUGGCUCUCUUUAAUGAGAUGCAUCCCUGUCUUGCCACCCCUCCAUGUGCCCCACUGCCUCCCUCACCCUCUGCUAGGUCUGGAUCAGAAGCAGAGCACGUCUCCCCAUUCCUUUCCAAGAGACGGACCCCUGCAGAGGCGAGGAGAUUAACACCGCUGGGCUGUGCCAAACGGCAGGCUGAUUCCUCAAUCUGGCUUGGUUUGCAAGUGGAGACACCAGGAAUGGGUUGUAGUGGGAUGCUCUCGGCGUUGAUCCAGGGAGGACUUUCUGGUCCGAUGAGCCUGGACAUUGAAGUCCUCUGACAGAGAGCCAGAGAUACUUCAGGAGAAGAGAGGGCUUAUCUGGAGAAGAGGAGGCUCAGGGGAGACCUUUUAUCUCUCUACACUACAGCUACCUGAAAGAAGGUUGUGGUGAGAACAUGUCUUGAAGACAGAAACAGGGGUUAGAAGAGCAGAUUUUACUCCUGUGAUUAAGAUUUGCACCAUUUGACUUUGGGUUGUAAAGAAAAAGAAGAAAAAAUAAAACAAGGGAAAAAAAAAAGAGUAAUGCUUUACUAAUUAAGGCACAAUUGAAAGUGAUUGGUGUGCACUGGCAAGCUGCUCCUCUCAGAAAGAGCUGGACUGACAUCUCUACAAUCACUCAGUGAGUAAGCACUGCGAAAACACUGUUUGGCCUGGAAGGAGCUAAUAAGUGCAUAGAUAAAAUCUUAUUUUGAAAGCAACAACAAAGGGCAUGUGAUUUAUAUCUUAGUUGGUGACUUCAUAUGUUUUGCAGAGUUUCUCCAAAAUAUAUCGGAAUUCAUAAUUCAUUUUUAUAACGCAUUACAUUAAAAUAAUAAAUGUCAGGAAGUUUUUCAAGAGACUGAAAAUUCUGUAAGCAGUGCUGAGUGAUCAAAGGAGGAUUUUGACAGGGAGAGACUCCCGUUGACUUGGGGCUUUGGAUCAGACCUGACGCUGGCAACAAAAUGGACAACAGUUAAUAAAAGUGUGCCUGUUAGAACUUGGAUAAGUUAGAGCAGCUAAUUGCAGCAUCUCAACACAAGUUGGGGGAAGAUGCAUGCUGGCUGGAUCCUCACCGCUGCAUGUGAUGGGAUGCUGUUGCUCGUCUACAUGGCAGCAACCAUGGAUGAGCCAAGACAAAGGAAGUGAUAGAGGAGGUGGAGGAGAGAGCAGGGAUUAGAGGGCUGGAGGAAAAACAACUUUCAGGGGGAGAAACCAUUCCAAAACCUACAUUUAUGCAAGGAAAAAGACUGCUGAGUUAAAAGUAGUAUAUCAUUUCUGGACUUUUUCAUUUCCUACAUGUUGGAGGAGUUAUCUCUGUGUGUUUCCAUUCUUUUUCUUAAUGGAGGCAUAUAUGACGUGUUUCUCACUCAUUGUAGUAUUUCAUGUUUUCAUGAGUGUUAACAAAAGCAUGGGACAAAGCCAAAGAGGUAACUACCCACCAUACCCUAGUGCAGCUGUUUCACGUUUAUAAAACUCAUGUAUCACCAUGCAGAAUUGGUCAGUGUUUUGCCUGUCUGUACCUGCAGGGAUGUAUUUUGCUGCAAAAUGCCAUUCAGGUUUGUGGACCACAAAAUGGAGAUGGAGAUCCCACAACUUCAGUUGUAGAGCAACCAGAACUCAUUCUCUCCUCACACAUCUAGAGCUCCACUCCCAGCCAUCCUAGUGGCCUUGCUGGGCUUUUUUCUAACCAUGCUGGUGGCCUUGCUGGGUGUUUUCCUAGCUCCUGGUACUAGGGAGCUCAAGUCCAGUGCCCAGAUGUGAUCUCAGGGUCUGAGUAGAGGGGAAGAAUUAUAUCCCCUAGCUUGCUAGCUGCCCCUUUGCAAAUUCACCUCUGGAUGUGAUCAUCCUGUGCUGCAAGUGUGGAGACAUAGUAGUGAGGACCUCAUAGUCUACCAAGAUGCCCCUGGUCUAUCCAGAUGGUCCCAGCUUGUGCUGCCACAUGGGUUAUUCCUCCUCAUAUACUGAACUCUACAUUUCUCUGCGGUGAACUUCUUGAGAUUCCUGCUAAUCCUUCUCUCCACCUCAUUUCUUCGAAUAGCAUUGCUCCUCUGCACUGCAUCAAUCACUCCUUGUUUGUGUGUCCUCUGCAGACUUGCUGAGAGGGCAGCCUGUUCACUGCCUAAGGGCUGCUUGAGCUGCCAGGUAGCUCCACAAUGACAUCCUUUGGAAAUGUGCACCACCUCCGACUUGAUCAGCUGGGCUGUACAACCUUAAUGGUAUAGAAGAUGCAGUUUCCAUGCAGUUUCAAGUCGUCAUCCAACUUUUAGAUGCAAGAUCUAAAGGCCCAUGUGGUACUUUAAUAUCUUGAUGAUUUACAGCUGGGAUUGAGACUUUGUCCAAACUUUCACUCCAUUUGUAUAAACCUUUCAUGCUGAUUGAGAACUCUGCAAAUGAAGUCUCUGACUUUUAUUUACACUUUAUGAAAAUUGAGUUGUUCUCAAGUGACCCUACAUCUCACCUCAGAGUGGUGAAAAUUCACAGCCACGGAGCGUGGAUUCAUGCAGACUGAGGGCUCAGUUUGUAGAUCUGAAUCUACAGAUAUUCAAAGAGAUUUUUCCCAGGGGAAAACAGUCAAAUGUGGAUGAUAAAAGUGAGUGAGUAAUGUACUGAGAGCAUAUCUUCUUACUGCAUUUGCUCGGAGUGUCUGUUUAUGAUGAAUGUAAAGCAGACCCAACAGCAGAGUUCAGUUAGGGGUGUGCGUUUAUGUGCUGGGAUUUUAUGUCUAACAUGGCCUGUUAGGCUUUUUGAAAAGGAAAAACAUAAAACCUUGCCUGUUUUCUUAAAAAAAUGCAUUACUGUACUGCUCUUCGUGUUUUAAAGUACUGAU